rnacentral:rRNA from 1 species
CGUGUAGGCGGUUUAUUAAGUCAGAUGUGAAAGCCCACGGCUUAACCGUGGAACUGCAUUUGACACUGAUAGGCUUGAGUAUGAGAAGGGGUAGUGGAAUUCCCAGUGUAGCGGUGAAAUGCGUAGAUAUUGGGAAGAACACCAGUAGCGAAGGCGACUACCUGGCUCAUUACUGACGCUAAUGCGCGAAAGCGCGGGGAGCAAACA